CCCUCUGCUUGUGGCUGUGGUCUUGCUACUGUUCACACUGGAUUGAUUAGUGCUCUUGUUGUUCUGUUCAAUCUCCUCAUCUUGAAGACUUGAUGUUGCAUUUUCUAUUUGGAGGCUUCUUUUUGGUGUCUGUGUUUGUGGUUCCUCAGGGUUAAGACUUCUACAUUCCUUCUCCUUAUGACCUUGAAGUCUACAGUGCUUGCAAUAUUUUGGUAGCUUGGUCUUGUCUUAUUUGCUGUGGCCAUAUCUACCGUCAGUGGUUUUCCAACUGCAGUUGCUAUGGAGAAGACUGCCUCUCUAACAAAAAAAUUUGGUGGUAGUUCAGGGAAGCUUAUCCAAGCUACAGCCUUUGAUGUCUCUUCCUUUGGGUUGAACCAUGGAUUCCAUAUAAAAGAUCUCAUUUGGCAAUACCUAUCAUGCACCUUUAGGUAAUAAAUAGGGGUUGACAUCAUUUUAACAUAGUCUUCCAGAAAAUUUAGUCGGAUCAGAAUAUGUCUUUCAUCAAGUAGUCCUAUAAUUGGUACUCCUUUGAUUCCACAUUGUGUUGGAAUUACCUUCCUUAGUUCUUUAAUAUCAAUGUUGUCAUAUGAAAACUUACCAAUUACUGCAUACUGUAGUUUCUCCUUCUAUAUCAUCUGCUGAAUCUCAUUGGAUUUCCAGGCAAUAAAUGGUUCCCCGUUGAUGUAUGAGAUCUGCUUUGAUGGUAUUCUGACAUUAUCUAUUUCUGAGCUUGUGGGUUUGAA